AGCGAACGCUGGCGGCAGGCUUAACACAUGCAAGUCGAGCGGGCCUUUCGCGGUUUGCGGCGGUACGGUGGGUACCGCGUGGGAACGUGCACUCUGGUUCGGUAUCACUCACUGCAACUUGAGCUUAUACCGGUUACUCCAUUUUGGGGUAAGGCUUGCUGCUGGAGGCUCGGCCCGCGUCUGUUUCGCUAGUUGGUGAGGUAACGGCCUACCAAGGCGACGAUCAGUAGCUGGUCUGGGAGGAUGUUAAGCCACACUGGGACUGAGACACGGCCCAGACUCCGACGGGAGGCAGCAGUGGGGAAUAUUGGACAAUGGGCGCAAGCCUGAUCCAGCCAUGCCGCGGGAGUGAUGAAGGCCUUAGGGUUGUAAAGCUCUUUGAUCCGGGACGAUAAUGACGGUACCGGAGGAAUAAGCCCCGGCUAACUUCGUG
rnacentral:rRNA from 1 species